rnacentral:rRNA from 1 species
AGUGAACGCUGGCGGUAGGCCUAACACAUGCAAGUCGAACGGCAGCACAGUAAGAGCUUGCUCUUACGGUUGGCGAGUGGCGGACGGGUGAGGAAUACAUCGGAAUCUUCUUUUUCGUGGGUGAUAACGUAGGGACACUUACGCUAAUACCUCAUACUACCUACGGUUGAAAGCAGGGGAUCUUCGGACCUUGCGCGAUUGAAUGAGCCGAUGUCGGAUUAGCUAGUUGGCGGGGUAAAGGCCCACCAAGGCGACGAUCCGUAGCUGGUCUGAGAGGAUGAUCAGCCACACUGGAACUGAGACACGGUCCAGACUCCUACGGGAGGCAGCAGUGGGGAAUAUUGGACAAUGGGCGCAAGCCUGAUCCAGCAAUGCCGCGUGAGUGAAGAAGGCCUUCGGGUUGUAAAGCCCUUUUGUUGGGAAAGAAAAGAAGCAGGUUAAUACCCCGAUGUUCUGACGGUACCCAAAGAAUAAGCAACGGCUAACUUCGUG